AUUGAACGCUGGCGGCAUGCCUUACACAUGCAAGUCGAACGGCAGCACGGGAGCAAUCCUGGUGGCGAGUGGCGAACGGGUGAGUAAUAUAUCGGAACGCGCCCAGUCGUGGGGGAUAACGCAGCGAAAGCUGUGCUAAUACCGCAUACGAUCUACGGAUGAAAGCGGGGGAUCGCAAGACCUCGCGCGAUUGGAGCGGCCGAUAUCAGAUUAGCUAGUUGGUGGGGUAAAGGCCCACCAAGGCGACGAUCUGUAGCUGGUCUGAGAGGACGACCAGCCACACUGGAACUGAGACACGGUCCAGACUCCUACGGGAGGCAGCAGUGGGGAAUUUUGGACAAUGGGCGCAAGCCUGAUCCAGCAAUGCCGCGUGCAGGAUGAAGGCCUUCGGGUUGUAAACUGCUUUUGUACGGAACGAAACGGCCCUUUCUAAUACAGGGGGCUAAUGACGGUACCGUAAGAAUAAGCACCGGCUAACUACGUGCCAGCAGCCGCGGUAAUAC
rnacentral:rRNA from 1 species